CGGACGGGUGAGUAACGCGUGAGAAUCUGGCUUCAGGUCUGGGACAACCACUGGAAACGGUGGCUAAUACCGGAUGUGCCGAAAGGUGAAAGGUUAACUGCCUGAAGAUGAGCUCGCGUCUGAUUAGCUAGUUGGUAGAGUAAAAGCCUACCAAGGCGACGAUCAGUAGCUGGUCUGAGAGGACGAUCAGCCACACUGGGACUGAGACACGGCCCAGACUCCUACGGGAGGCAGCAGUGGGGAAUUUUCCGCAAUGGGCGAAAGCCUGACGGAGCAAUACCGCGUGAGGGAGGAAGGCUCUUGGGUCGUAAACCUCUUUUCCCAGGGAAGAACACAAUGACGGUACCUGAGGAAUAAGCAUCGGCUAACUCCGUGCCAGCAGCCGCGGUAAUACGGAGGAUGCAAGCGUUAUCCGGAAUGAUUGGGCGUAAAGCGUCCGCAGGUGGCAAUGUAAGUCUGCUGUUAAAGAGUCUAGCUCAACUAGAUAAGAGCAGUGGAAACUACAUAGCUAGAGUACGUUCGGGGCAGAGGGAACUCCUGGUGUAGCGGUGAAAUGCGUAGAGAUCAGGAAGAACACCAGUGGCGAAGGCGCUCUGCUAGGCCGUAACUGACACUGAGGGACGAAAGCUAGGGGAGCGAAUGGGAUUAGAUACCCCAGUAGUC
rnacentral:rRNA from 1 species